rnacentral:ncRNA from 2 species
UAGAAAUAACCGUAUGCAUCUUGUAUAUGUCCGGGAUAAUGGCCUGGACGUUUCUAUCCGACUUCCUAAAUGUCAGGGCUACAGGAGCAGCUUUUAUGCUG